UAACCAUCCCACGUUCGGAUUGCAGUCUGCAACUCGACUGCAUGAAGCUGGAAUCGCUAGUAAUCGCGGAUCAGAAUGCCGCGGUGAAUACGUUCCCGGGUCUUGUACACACCGCCCGUCACACCAUGGGAGUCGGAUAUGCCCGAAGUCAGUGACCCAACCGCAAGGAGGGAGCUGCCGAAGGUGGAGCCGAUGACUGGGGUGAAGUCGUAACAAGGUAGC
rnacentral:rRNA from 1 species